UAACCAUGGUGAGGGCAAUGAUUUAACAGAUCUUUGAAUCUUUCCCAAACUUGAUAAACAUUUCAUUGUCUUUUGGGGAAAAUGUAGAAAUCUGUCAUUUUAGACC